rnacentral:rRNA from 1 species
GGGUUGUGAGGUUAAGCGACUAAGCGUACACGGUGGAUGCCCUGGCAGUCAGAGGCGAUGAAGGACGUGCUAAUCUGCGAUAAGCGUCGGUAAGGUGAUAUGAACCGUUAUAACCGGCGAUUUCCGAAUGGGGAAACCCAGUGUGUUUCGACACACUAUCAUUAACUGAAUCCAUAGGUUAAUGAGGCGAACCGGGGGAACUGAAACAUCUAAGUACCCCGAGGAAAAGAAAUCAACCGAGAUUCCCCCAGUAGCGGCGAGCGAACGGGGAGCAGCCCAGAGCCUGAAUCAGUGUGUGUGUUAGUGGAAGCGUCUGGAAAGGCGCGCGAUACAGGGUGACAGCCCCGUACACAAAAAUGCACAUGCUGUGAGCUCGAUGAGUAGGGCGGGACACGUGGUAUCCUGUCUGAAUAUGGGGGGACCAUCCUCCAAGGCUAAAUACUCCUGACUGACCGAUAGUGAACCAGUACCGUGAGGGAAAGGCGAAAAGAACCCCGGCGAGGGGAGUGAAAAAGAACCUGAAACCGUGUACGUACAAGCAGUGGGAGCACGCUUAG